ACCUUUUCUCGGCAUUUUGGCUAAGAUAAGGUGUAAUAUUUGUUCUUGUCAGUUUAAUAUCUUAUAUAUAAACCAUUUGUUCACUCUGAUAUUAAUUUUUUUAAUUUUAUGGGUAUCAAAUAUAAUUUUGUGUCGUCGCAACGCGCGUGCAUUGUAC
rnacentral:snRNA from 1 species